rnacentral:rRNA from 1 species
UACGUAGGCAGCGAGCGUUGUUCGGAUUUACUGGGCGUAAAGGGUGUGUAGGCGGUUAUUUAAGUUUGGUGUGAAAUCUCCCGGCUCAACCGGGAGGGUGCGCCGAAUACUGAAUGACUAGAGUGCGGGAGAGGUGAGUGGAAUUCCUGGUGUAGCGGUGAAAUGCGUAGAUAUCAGGAGGAACACCGGUGGUGUAGACGGCUCACUGGACCGUAACUGACGCUGAGACACGAAAGCGUGGGUAGCAGACAGG